rfam:Felis catus isolate Cinnamon breed Abyssinian chromosome E3, whole genome shotgun sequence.
GCCUGGGUGGCUCAGUCGGUUAAGCGCCUGACUCUUGGUUUCGGCUCAGGUCACGAUCUCACAGUUCGUGGGUUCGAGCCCCGCACUGGGCU